rnacentral:rRNA from 1 species
GCUGCGUGCUUAACACAUGCAAGUCGAACGGUGAAAGGGAGCUUGCUCCCUGGAUCAGUGGCGAACGGGUGAGUAACACGUGGGCAACCUGCCCCUCACUCUGGGAUAACUCCGGGAAACCGGGGCUAAUACCGGAUACGACCUGGUGCGACAUCGCACCGGGUGGAAAGAACUUCGGUGAGGGAUGGGCCCGCGGCCUAUCAGCUUGUUGGUGGGGUAACGGCCCACCAAGGCGACGAUCAGUAGCUGGUCUGAGAGGAUGAUCAGCCACAUUGGGACUGAGACACGGCCCAAACUCCUACGGGAGGCAGCAGUGGGGAAUCUUGCGCAAUGGGCGAAAGCCUGACGCAGCCAUGCCGCGUGAAUGAUGAAGGUCUUAGGAUUGUAAAAUUCUUUCACCGGGGACGAUAAUGACGGUACCCGGAGAAGAAGCCCCGGCUAACUUCGUGCCAGCCGCCGCCGUAACAC